rnacentral:lncRNA from 1 species
CUCUACCCAAGGGUAGGGGUAAGGUCUGCGUACACACUACCCUCCCUAGACCCCACUAAGUGGGAUUAUACUGGGUUGUUGUUGUUGUUGUUUACCUAAGCCUCCACGGGCAGAGUUACAUGAUACUUUGUGCCGGUGGGAGGUAGCAGGUGCCUGAUGGAAUAGUUUAGGUGCGUGCAAGGCUGCAAGCUGGCCAGGACACCACCAUUAUAAAUAGAAAAAAAAGGCAUGUGAUAACUUCUAAAUACCGAGUUGUAAAGGGUACUACUAUUAGAUAGUGUAUAAACGAAUGUUCUCUUGGAAAAUAGACAGAAUUUUGGAACACCUCAAAACAGAAAAUAGGAUAGUUUGGGACAAUGGAGUAGUUUCCUGUACAUCAAUCAUGUCAGAUAUGAUUGGUGAUGAUUCCUUGACUUCUAGGUAUGAUUGGUAUAAUCUUAUUCUACCACAUGUAUGUCCCUUGUUUUGUUUUCAUUGUUCUGCAUAUUGCAACUAUUUUCUUACUUGCAAUAUCUUGUGCUGCUACACUAUCCCUUUUUGUUUGUAUAAUUCUGAAUCUUGUCAUAUCUUGCCAGGUUUAGCCCAGAAGCUCUCAGUUGGCUGUUUAUAAAGGGGUUGGUUGGCUGGUUUUUGCAAGUUUCAUUGCUGAAGAUGACAUUGUUCUCACUGGGUAGUGGAGAGGCUCCUCUCCUCGACGUUGUUUCAUAUGCAGGAUACGCUUUUACAGGAUUGUCCAUAGUUGCUGAAGAUGACGCUGUUCUCUCUGGGUAGUGGAGAGGCUCCUCUCCUUGACAUUGUUUCAUACGCAGGAUACACUUUUACAGGAUUGUCCAUAGCUCUUUUGGGAACAAUUGUAUGGAACUAUUCUUACUACUUUUUGAUGCCAUGGACAUGCUUGUGCAUGGGAAUAUUUUUGGUGAAAACGAUGAAAAGAGUUCUCUUUGCAGAGGUGAGGACGUAUGAUUCAAGUAGGCAUCAUUAUCUCCUACUGUUUAUUGCCCUAGCUCAGUUCCCUCUUCUCUUUUGGCUUGGAAAGAUUAGCCUUAACUGGUUCCUUUAGAUUACAUCUCAAGUUAUGUGGUUUGGCAGUUAGUAUGUUUUGGAAAGGGAAGCUAGCAAUUUUCUGUAUGCCUCAUUACAUAGGCAUUUUAUUCUUGAAUGCUAGACAUGUAAAUGAGCUGAUUAGCCACUUACUUUACGUCAAAUUUGUACGAAAGAGCUUGUAACGUCUAGAGGCGUCUCACUGUGUUAUCAGAAGUUCAGGAGAAGGAUUGAGAAAGCUUUUUGUGGCACUUGCGUCGUAUCGAACUAGUUUUAUGCUCUCGUCUUUUUUAUCUUAUUCAGGUAGCUUCCAUGAAAUGGAAGUGAGGCAUUUUGAUAUUCUCUAAUUUUCUUUGACCCUUGUACAAUUGCAUAUGUAGAAACUAGAAACCUCCUGUUUUGUGAAAGGUUGAAAGAACUAUGGGCUGUUGGUUCAGUUCCGGGAUACCCUAUGAGAUUAUUUAGCCCACCUCCGAUAUUGGAUAAGUAAUACCACCAUUUUGGUAUGAAUCUGUACUGGUAUUAGCUAAUACCCACAGCUAAAUAUGUGAUAACUAUAAUUCCAAAAUUUAUAUCGGGAUUAAUAUCCUUAUUCCGA